rnacentral:rRNA from 1 species
GAUGAACGCUGGCGGCGUGCCUAAUACAUGCAAGUCGAGCGAACAGACGAGGAGCUUGCUCCUCUGACGUUAGCGGCGGACGGGUGAGUAACACGUGGCUAACCUACCUAUAAGACUGGGAUAACUUCGGGAAACCGGAGCUAAUACCGGAUAAUAUAUUGAACCGCAUGGUUCAAUAGUGAAAGACGGUUUUGCUGUCACUUAUAGAUGGAUCCGCGCCGCAUUAGCUAGUUGGUAAGGUAACGGCUUACCAAGGCGACGAUGCGUAGCCGACCUGAGAGGGUGAUCGGCCACACUGGAACUGAGACACGGUCCAGACUCCGACGGGAGGCAGCAGUAGGGAAUCUUCCGCAAUGGGCGAAAGCCUGACGGAGCAACGCCGCGUGAGUGAUGAAGGUCUUCGGAUCGUAAAACUCUGUUAUUAGGGAAGAACAAAUGUGUAAGUAACUAUGCACGUCUUGACGGUACCUAAUCAGAAAGCCACGGCUAACUACGUG